rnacentral:sRNA from 1 species
AGGGAAGACCAUAUAGCACCAAAGGUCUAGGUGUCUGUGGACUCGUGAGUGUACAGGGUUCAGAAUCUGGGAGUUAACAAAUGAGGCCCUACCAUGUACUGGCCCAGGGACCUUGGGCAAGUUAGGUUCUCUCAGCCUCAGUUUCCUCCUUUGUAAAACAGGAGUGAUGGUCCCUACCCUAUGGGGUGGUGCUGAGGAUUCAGACUGGAUGGGAUAACUUAGGCAAAGAUCCCGGCACACCAUGGGGGCCUGGCUGGUCCCUGUGGGCUGGUGAAGGACUUGGCUGCCCUCCCACUCACACCCUUGGGUUCUGCCUCCUUCCUGGAUCCUCGGCAGGUUCCCCACCCCUGUGUCGCCUGUGGUCUCACAGUGGAAGGACAUGAUAGGCACAGCCUUCUCCCUAGCCAUCGUGAGCUAUGUCAUCAACCUGGCUAUGGGCCGGACCCUGGCCAACAAGCACGGCUACGACGUGGAUUCGAACCAGGAGAUGAUCGCCCUCGGCUGCAGCAACUUCUUUGGCUCCUUCUUUAAAAUUCAUGUCAUUUGCUGUGCGCUUUCCGUCACUCUGGCUGUGGAUGGAGCUGGAGGAAAAUCCCAGGUGGCCAGCCUGUGUGUGUCUCUGGUGGUGAUGAUCACCAUGCUGGUCCUGGGGAUCUAUCUGUAUCCUCUCCCUAAGUCUGUGCUAGGAGCCCUGAUCGCUGUCAAUCUCAAGAACUCCCUCAAGCAACUCACCGACCCCUACUACCUGUGGAGGAAGAGCAAGCUGGACUGUUGCAUCUGGGUAGUGAGCUUCCUCUCCUCCUUCUUCCUCAGCCUGCCCUAUGGUGUGGCAGUGGGUGUCGCCUUCUCCGUCCUGGUCGUGGUCUUCCAGACUCAGUUUCGAAAUGGCUAUGCACUGGCCCAGGUCAUGGACACUGACAUUUAUGUGAAUCCCAAGACCUAUAAUAGGGCCCAGGAUAUCCAGGGGAUUAAAAUCAUCACUUACUGCUCCCCUCUCUACUUUGCCAACUCAGAGAUCUUCAGGCAAAAGGUCAUUGCCAAGACAGGCAUGGACCCCCAGAAAGUAUUACUAGCCAAGCAAAAAUACCUCAAGAAGCAGGAGAAGCGGAGAAUGAGGCCCACACAACAGAGGAGGUCUCUAUUCAUGAAAACCAAGACUGUCUCCCUGCAGGAGCUGCAGCAGGACUUUGAGAACGCGCCCCCCACAGACCCCAACAACAACCAGACGCCGGCUAACGGCACCAGCGUGUCCUAUAUCACCUUCAGCCCUGACAGCUCCUCAGCUGCCCAGAGUGAGCCACCGGCCUCUGCUCAGGGCCCUGGCGAGCCCAGUGACACGCUGGCCAGCGUCCCGCCCUUCGUCACCUUCCACACCCUCAUCCUAGACAUGAGUGGAGUCAGCUUUGUGGACUUGAUGGGCAUCAAGGCCCUGGCCAAGCUGAGCUCCACCUAUGGGAAGAUCGGCGUGAAGGUCUUCUUGGUGAACAUCCAUGCCCAGGUGUACAAAGACAUUAGCCAUGGAGGCGUCUUUGAGGAUGGGAGUCUAGAAUGCAAGCACGUCUUUCCCAGCAUACAUGACGCAGUCCUCUUUGCCCAGGCAAAUGCCAGAGACGGGACCCCAGGACGCAACUUCCAAGGGGCUCCAGAGGACACUGAACUCUCCUUGUACGACUCAGAGGAGGACAUCCCCAGCUACUGGGACUUAGAGCAGGAGAUGUUCGGGAGCAUGUUUCACGCAGAGACCCUGACCGCCCUGUGAGGGCUCAGCCAGUCCUCAUGCUGCCUACAGAGUGCCUGGCACUUGGGACUUCCAUAAAGGAUGAGCCUGGGGUCACAGGGGGUGUCGGGCGGAGGAAAAUGCAUCCCCCAGAGCUUGGGUUCCUCUCUCCUCUCCCCCUCUCUCCUCCCCUCCUUCCCUCCCCGCAUCUCCAGAGAGAGCCUCUCAGCAGCAGGGGGGUGCUACCCUUACAGGAGUGAGAGUCUGGUGAGCCCACUCUUCACCCGUCAGGCCCUGGCCGCAAUGGACAAGCCUCCUGCUCACUCCACCCCACCCACCUCUGCCCUGUCCUUGGCAGCUGAAGGACACCUUGACUUCCAGCUUUUACAAGUGAGCCAAAAACAGAAGGACAAGUACAACUGUGCUGGCCUGCUGUACAAGCUUCAAAAAGUGUCCCAGAGCCCACACGGCUCGGUGUCAGAUGGUGUCAGGCUGUCACGGGACAUAGGGAUAAACUUGGUUAGGAAUCUGGCUUGCCUUCCCCAGCUGCCUCAACUCUGUCUCUGGCAGCUCUGCACCCAGGGACCAUGUGCUCUCCACACCCAGGAGUCUAGGCCUUGGUAACUAUGCGCCCCCCUCCAUCAUCCCCAAGGCUGCCCAAACCACCACUGCUGUCAGCAAGCACGUCAGACUCUAGCCUGGACAGUGGCCAGGACCGUCGAGACCACCAGAGCUACCUCCCCAGGGACAGCCCACUAAGGUUCUGCCUCACCUCCUGAAACAUCGCUGCCCUCAGAGGCUGCUCCCUUCCCCUGGAGGCUGGCUAGAAACCCCAAAGAGGGGGAUGGGUAGCUGGCAGAAUCCUCUGGCAUCCUAGUAAUAGAUACCAGUUAUUCUGCACAAAAGCUUUUGGGAAUCCCUCUUUGCACCCAGAGACUCAGAGGGGAAGAGGGUGCUAAACGGACAGGACCUGGGCCCAGACAGUCCCCCUUGACCCCAGGGCCCAUCAGGGAAAUGCCUCCCUUUGGUAAAUCUGCCUUAACUUUCUUUACUUGGCAAAGAGCCAAUCAUGUUAACUCUUCCUUAUUAGCUUGUGGCCCAGAGACACAAUGGGGUCCUUCUACAGGCAAAGGUGGAAGUCCUCCAGGGAUCUGCUGCAUCCCCUAACUGCAUGCAGAUGUGGAAAGGGGCUAAUCCAGAUUGGGUCUUCCUCCACAGGAAGAUUCUUUAACACCCUUAGGACCUGAGGCCAUCUUCUCCUAUGAAGAUGAAAAUAGGGGUUAAGUUCUCCAUAUGUACAAGGAGGUAUUGAGAGGAACCCCACUGUUGACUUGAAAAUAAAUAGGUUCCAUGUGUAAGUGUUUUGUAAAAUUUCAGUGGAAAUGCACAGAAAAUCUUCUGACCUCUCAUCACUGCUUUUCUCAAGCUUCUUCAACUUAACAACCCCUUCCCCAACAGGUUGGGCUGGCCCAGCCUAGGAAAACAUCCCCAUUUCUAACUUCAGCCAGACCUGCAUUGUGUGUCUGUGUGUUGAGUGAGUUGGUCAGCUAACAAGUCUUCUUAGAGUUAAAGGAGGGGGUGCUGGCCAAGAGCCAACACAUUCUUGGCCCAGGAGCAUUGCUUUUCUGUGAAUUCAUUAUGCCAUCUGGCUGCCAAUGGAACUCAAAACUUGGAAGGCGAAGGACAAUGUUAUCUGGGAUUCACCAUGCCCAGCACCCGAAGUGCCAAAUUCCAGGAGGACAAGAGCCUUAGCCAAUGACAACUCACUCUCCCCUACUCCACCUCCUUCCAAGUCCAGCUCAGGCCCAGGAGGUGGGAGAAGGUCACAGAGCCUCAGGACAUUCCAAGUCAGAGUCCCCUUUGAACCAAGUAUCUAGAUCCCCUGAGGACUUGAUGAAGUGAUCCUUAACCCCCAAGUAAUCAUUAACCCCCAGACCAGCCUCAGAACUGAAGGAGAUUGUUGACCCAGUGGCCUGGAGUUGAGGCUCAGGGAGAGAUCUGCAACAUGUCUGAGGGUUGCAGAGCCCACUGUGGAGGUAAGAUUGGAAACACAUGAGGCAGAGGGAAGACAUUGAAGAAAACAUCUCUGCUGGAAUAUUUGGAAAAGAACACUCUUCUGGACCUGGUUGAAGCAGGAAAGAUGGAGGCAAAGUAGUGAAAUAAUCCAGAAUUUCAAUACUUUUGAAUGUUCUUAGUGAUACUGACCUGUGAUAAUAUAAUUCCCAGGGAGGACUGGGAACCUUAUCUCUUGAGAUAUUUGCAUAAUUUAUUUAAUUUAAGCCUCAUUCUUCUUUUGUUCAUUUUGGUAAUAAACUGGAUUUGAACUGUG